rnacentral:lncRNA from 1 species
GCAGUGGUUGGUGUUAUCAGGGUAUCAGUCACCCCCUUCGGUUCUCAUGUGACUGGCGAAGCUAGGAGGAUAGUACAGGCAGGUAAACUUUUCCAAAAGAGAUAGAUGAAGGAGAUGCAGGCUUUGGCUGUGUUCAGGAGCAAUGGUCCAUUCCCUUGGGGUCUCUGCAGUUUCAAGACUCACAUCAACAGACUCCCAGGGAUGUUACAAGAUAAGCUAGAAUAUAAGCGGUGUGUACUCUCCUCCUCUUCUAUUUUUACCACAGAAGUUCCUCUUUGCUGAGCAGUCUGGAGUGUGACCAAGCUGGCUUCCUGCCAGUUCACUUCAGAUCCCAGGAACUGUGUCUUGUGAGGGGAACACAGGAGGACUAGUGUUAUGUUGGCAGGUCAGGCACACCAGGGCUGUUCUCAGGGUGACCUGUCAGCAGCGGGACCAGGACUGAGGACUUAGAAACCCCUCCUCUCAUUUCAUUCUCAGACAAGGGAAGACUUACCUAGUGCUUCUCAUUCUGAACUGGG